GACGAACGCUGGCGGCGCGCUUAACACAUGCAAGUCGAGCGAAGCGGCGGACGGGUGAGUAACACGUGAGUAACCUGCCUUAGACAUUGGGAUAGCCUCGGGAAACCGGGAUUAAUACCAAAUGGUCUAAGAUGGACUCGCGUCCCAUUAGCUAGUUGGUGGGUAACGGCCCACCAAGGCGACGAUGGGUAGCCGGCCUGGGGGGGUGAACGGCCACAUUGGAACUGGGAAACGGUCGAAACUCUCCGUGAGGCAGCAGUGGGGAAUAUUGCACAAUGGGGGGACCUCGGAUGCAGCGACGCCGCGUGAACGAAGAAGGCUUUCGAGACGUAAAGUUCUUUUAUAUGGGAAGGGGUACCAUAAGAAAAAGCCCGGCUAACUACGUGCCAGCAGCCGCGGUAAUAC
rnacentral:rRNA from 1 species